GAGUUUGAUCAUGGCUCAGGAUUAACGCUGGCGGCAUGCCUAAUACAUGCAAGUCGAACGGAGUAGCAAUACUUAGUGGCGAACGGGUGAGUAACACGUAUCUAAUCUACCAUUUAGUGGGGAAUAACUGUUGGAAACGACAGCUAAUACCGCAUAAUAUUGCUGGAUAAUUUCCAGUAAUGAAAGGAGCUUUCAAGCUCCGCUGAUUGAUGAGGAUGCGGCGCAUUAGCUAGUUGGUAGGGUAAUGGCCUACCAAGGCAAUGAUGCGUAGCCGAUCUGAGAGGAUGAACGGCCACAUUGGGACUGAGACACGGCCCAAACUUCUACGGAAGGCAGCAGUAGGGAAUUUUUCACAAUGGGCGAAAGCCUGAUGGAGCAAUGCCGCGUGACUGAUGAAGGUCUUCGGAUUGUAAAGGUCUGUUGUAAGGGAAGAAAUGGUAAAACAGGAAAUGGUUUUAUCUAUGACGGUACCUUACCAGAAAGCCACGGCUAACUAUGUGCCAGCAGCCGCGGUAAUACAUAGGUGGCAAGCGUUAUCCGGAUCUAUUGGGCGUAAAGGGUGCGUAGACGGUUUUGCAAGUCUGAGGUUAAAUUUAGGAGCUCAACUCCUAAUCGCCUUGGAAACUACAAGACUAGAGUAUAGGAGAGGUUAGUGGAAUUCCAUGUGUAGCGGUGGAAUGUGUAGAUAUAUGGAGGAACAC
rnacentral:rRNA from 1 species